CUAGGCGGUCCGGAGUCGAUGGGUUAACAAACUUACUCAAACGAAUUAUACCCCAUCGACACUCACUUGACAGCCGA
rfam:Macrostomum lignano uti_cns_0047833, whole genome shotgun sequence.